rnacentral:rRNA from 1 species
UGGGGAAUAUUGCACAAUGGGCGCAAGCCUGAUGCAGCCAUGCCGCGUGUAUGAAGAAGGCCUUCGGGUUGUAAAGUACUUUCAGCGGGGAGGAAGGUGUUGAGGUUAAUAACCUCAGCAAUUGACGUUACCCGCAGAAGAAGCACCGGCUAACUCCGUGCCAGCAGCCGCGGUAAUACGGAGGGUGCAAGCGUUAAUCGGAAUUACUGGGCGUAAAGCGCACGCAGGCGGUCUGUCAAGUCGGAUGUGAAAUCCCCGGGCUCAACCUGGGAACUGCAUUCGAAACUGGCAGGCUAGAGUCUUGUAGAGGGGGGUAGAAUUCCAGGUGUAGCGGUGAAAUGCGUAGAGAUCUGGAGGAAUACCGGUGGCGAAGGCGGCCCCCUGGACAAAGACUGACGCUCAGGUGCGAAAGCGUGGGGAACAAACA